GUGAACGCUGGCGGUAGGCCUAACACAUGCAAGUCGAACGGCAGCACAGUAAGCGCUUGCUCUUACGGGUUGCGAGUGGCGGACGGGUGAGGAAUACAUCGGCAUCUACUUUUUCGUGGGGGAUGACGUAGGGAAACUUACGCUAAUACCGCAUACGACCUACGGGUGAAAGCAGGGGAUCUUCGGACCUUGCGCGAUUGAAUGAGCCGAUGUCGGAUUAGCUAGUUGGCGGGGUAAAGGCCCACCAAGGCGACGAUCCGUAGCUGGUCUGAGAGGAGGAUCAGCCACACUGGAACUGAGACACGGUCCAGACUCCUACGGGAGGCAGCAGUGGGGAAUAUUGGACAAUGGGCGCAAGCCUGAUCCAGCCAUACCGCGUGGGUGAAGAAGGCCUUCGGGUUGUAAAGCCCUUUUGUUGGGAAAGAAAAGCAGCAGGUUAAUACCCCGCUGUUCUGACGGUACCCAAAGAAUAAGCACCGGCUAACUUCGUG
rnacentral:rRNA from 1 species